AUCUUUAUGUUUAUAAAUUUAUUUAAUUUCCAAGACUUAUGUGUUCAUCUCAAUCCUUGACAUACUCAUCUGCCAGACACAAAAAAUAGUGGUCUAUUUAAGAGGCCUUAAUGAAUGACAACAUUUUUGAAAUAUGCUAUAUGAGUACAAAUAUUUCCAGAGCAAAGAGGGAAAACUGUUGAUUGGGUAGACAAUCAAAUUCCAAGCAUUUAUCUGAUUUACAGAAGUACAUCUACUUUUUGUUUUUCACUAAAUGAAUACAACCACUUUUAAUAUAUAUGUGGGUGUGGCUGUGUGCGUAUUUCAAAACACACACGCACACACAAUAAAGAAACAUUUCAUAGUGGCAAAAUUUUAGUGCACUGCCAAAGUGCUACAAUAACUGUCAUCCACAGACAUCCACAUGCAAACACUACUGGACUAGUACACUAGAGCAAAUAAGAGAGUAUUUAGCAAAACUCUCUGGCAAAAACUUUUAAAACGGAAGUAAUGAAACAGAAAUCCACUUCUAAUUUGAAGGCUUUAGAAAAUAAUCUUCAUUUUAAUCACAUAUACACAUAGUAUUAUCUAAGCUCAGAAAAUAACUUCUUCCUGUAUGCACAGAACUUCAAUGUACACUCAGUAAAUGUUAGCAUUUGAAGAAAAUGUGCCAUGAGGAGAAUGUCUGAGGGAUAAUGGCAGGAAAAAGAUAUAUCCAUUAUAAAAGAGGACAGAAAGGCAUAGCAAGGAUGGGGAUGUGCAGGAAAGGGAGGGGAGAGGGAAGAAAGUAAACUGACCAUAAAAGAAACCAAUUCAAAUGGAAAACAGCGACUAACCUUGACACAGGAAUGAAUCAUGAAGGCUGGAUGGGUAGACUGGGAGGGGUGAAAAGAAUGUAUAUUCUUUGUUUUAAGCUAUAUAUAAAAUUGUCAGAUUUAGCCAAAGCCUAGUUGGAAUGGGAGUUGGCUAAAUUACAUGAAAUGUAACACAGACAUUGCCAAAACUACUUCACAGGGUUGUUCUGAACAACGAGACACAAAUUGUGAAGAUGUUCCCCAAAUUGCAAAAUGCUACACUAAUGUAAGACAGAUAGUUUACACAAUAUUCCAGUUCAAUCUUUCCUUUCAACUCUGGGAAAUUACAAGUGCAAACAAUGAGAUCUACAGAGCACAGAAAGAAAAAAACCUCCACUGCUCCAUUAUCAGAUUUUCAGGGAACAGCAGGCUUCACAGUCACAGAGAAGCCUGACUUUCAAAACAGAGCAAAGAUGGUGACAAACUGAUCGAAUGGAGAGAUACGCUCUUAUGCAUGUGGGCAAUGUCCCCACUCCUGGUAUUACCCACAGCAAUUCUUAGAGGGAAAAUUAUUCAGUAGAGGGAAAAUUAUUCAGUAGAGGGAAGAGGGAGUAAACAGAUUCCCUUGCCUACUUCACCCUAAACUUCAUAAACCUCUUUUAUCUGCACAUGAAUAAGAUUAAACUACUCCAAUUAUUGUCUUAUAAAAGGAAGGACUGAGAGGAUAAAAAUGGUACAAAUUCACCAACAUAUGCCAAAACACAGAGUAUCUUUCCUUAACAUAAGAAACAGGAAGAGAAGAAAAUUUAACAGUGUGUCAGGUAUGUGUGUGCAUUGUUAUAAUCAGUUAAAAGCUAGAAAACUGAAGCUUAAUAACUAAUUUAUUCAAGGCCACUUAUCCAACACCACAGAGCCAAAAUUUAGCCCUGGGUCUGUUUCAUGUCAAAGUCCUGGCUGGCAAUUUCCACAAAACUGCCUUCCAUCAUCAAAAGAAGUUAGGAAGAUAAACAGUGAGAACAGCCAACACAUUUUUUUGCUAUCUAUUUUUUCUUGUUAGUUCUAUGACUAUUUAAGAAAAUAUUUUGGCAUUGAAUAAUAUUUCUAUUACAUAGCAUUUCCUCCUUUGCUAAUGCUUAGUAACUCUACAAAGAUGACUCAUCAUAUCAGAAGCAUCAUGAAUUAAUGCAUUUAUCUGCAGCAGCUGCUAAUACCACAAAAAGAGAGAAAACCACAGAUUAUGCGCCACCUACUAAAUGAACACAACAUAACCUAUGAAACAUUCAUGCCAAAAGCCAUGUUUCAAUCUCAUCAAGUCUCUAGACAUAACUAGCAAAUUAAAGAAACAGAGGAUAGAGGAAAGCAAACAUUACCAUAGGGAUGCAAUUAGCAAAACUUAAAUUGUGGCAAAUGCUACAUGUGAAACAACCUCAUUUCAUAAACAAAAUCGCAAGGAAAAAAAGAAAGAUGAAAGGGAAACAUACGGAUUAAGAAGACACUUAGGAGAUUUACGGGAUUCUACUAAUUAAAAAUAAUAAAACAAGUAGCAUUUAUGAGGCAAUUGGAAGUUUGAACCCUCACUGGAUAUUUACUGAUAUUAAAGAAUUACUGUAAAUAUCACUUGCGAUAAUGGAAUUAUCAUUUUUUUCCAUAUCAUCCCAUAGCUUUCAGAGAUAUAUAAAGAAUAUUUAUGGAUAAAAUGAUCAGAUGUCUGCUAUUUGUUACAAAAUAAUACUAGAACAUGGGGAGUGAGUGAGGCUAAGUUAAAAAAGAUUGUUCAUGGAUUCAUAAUUGCUGAAAUUGAGUGAAAAGUACAUGGAUGUUCAUCAUAGUAUGAUGUAACAUUAUGUAUGUUUGCCAAAAAAAGAACAUGUCAGGGCUGGGGGGGCAGUUAAAAAAAAACGCAUGCCACAUCACUGAAAAACGUCCUCAUAUUUUUCAAGGAAAGAAAUGUAUUAUCAAGGAAUCACAGAGCAGAAAGACCUUAAAAGCAAUCUAUUCAAACCACCUCAAUUUAUAAAUAAGGAAAUUAAGGCUCAGAUAGGUUAACUGACUUGCUCAGGGUCACACAACUUGUCAGUUCCAAACUCAAGAUCAGAAUUUAAAUCUCCAAACUUGUAGUCCAGGGCUGUGCUCUUUUUGCAAACCAAAAAGAAAUGACUGCACUUAAAUAUUUAGUCCAGAAUAUCCUCAAAAUUGACUGUAAUAAAAGUAAGCCACAUGAUGAGGAAUGAAUAGAGUUGGUUCAUACCAAAAAUGAGCUGCCAGUCACAGUGAUAAGAUCUGUUUCUUUCUGAGAACCAUGGUUUCCUGCUGCAUUGGGGAAUCCAAACUGGGUUUCUCCCUCCUGUCCAAAGAAGUCAGAGUCAGGAUGUACGUUCCACUCCGCUUUGGUUGGUGUCAGUAGUUCUGAGACACUGUUUUCACAAAGGGUGCUCGAAGGAGUCAGAGCAUCUGUGUCCACUGUUAGCUUACUGCUGGGUGUCAAAGCCUGAGGCUCUGGACUGGAGUUUUUCAUGGCCACCGUUCCAAAAAAGAGAGAGGUAUCCAGACUUUGAGGAGGGUCGCUGGUGGCCAUCAAGGACGGAGGGUCCACAGCCUGCCCUACGGAAUUAUUAUUAUUAGCAGGGAGGUGCCCUGCCAGAGUCGAGCUCACAGAAGCCACAUCAAUAGUCAAGAUUCCAGAGUUCACCAAUGCUGUGUCCAGCAAUGCAGCAGAAGUACUGUCAGGUACAUCAGAGAAGAGAGACACUAUCUCUGCAUCACUGAGAUCAUUCUGUCUCUGGCUGGUAAGUUCACUGCUGGGUGUGAGAGAAUUUGCUGCUUCUAGCUGAGCUAAGAGAUCCUGGCCCACCUUAUGCCUUUUAAC
rnacentral:lncRNA from 1 species